AUUGAACGCUGGCGGCAUGCUUUACACAUGCAAGUCGAGCGGUAACAGGCCUUCGGGUGCUGACGAGUGGCGAACGGGUGAGUAAUGCAUCGGAACGUACCCAGAGGUGGGGGAUAACGCAGCGAAAGCUGUGCUAAUACCGCAUGUGAUCUGAGGAUGAAAGCGGGGGACCGAGCAGCAAUGUUUGGCCUCGCGCCUUUGGAGCGGCCGAUGUCGGAUUAGCUAGUUGGUGGGGUAAAGGCCUACCAAGGCGACGAUCCGUAGCUGGUCUGAGAGGACGACCAGCCACACUGGGGCUGAGACACGGCCCAGACUCCUACGGGAGGCAGCAGUGGGGAAUUUUGGACAAUGGGCGCAAGCCUGAUCCAGCAAUGCCGCGUGCGGGAAGAAGGCCUUCGGGUUGUAAACCGCUUUUGGCAGGAACGAAACGGUGUCCGCUAAUACCGGGCGCUAAUGACGGUACCUGCAGAAUAAGCACCGGCUAACUACGUG
rnacentral:rRNA from 1 species